rnacentral:rRNA from 1 species
GUGCAGCAGCCGCGGUAAUACGAAGGGACCUAGCGUAGUUCGGAAUUACUGGGCUUAAAGAGUUCGUAGGUGGUUGAAAAAGUUGGUGGUGAAAUCCCAGAGCUUAACUCUGGAACUGCCAUCAAAACUUUUCAGCUAGAGUUUGAUAGAGGAAAGCAGAAUUUCUAGUGUAGAGGUGAAAGUCGUAGAUAUUAGAAAGAAUACCAAUUGCGAAGGCAGCUUUCUGGAUCGUUACUGACACUGAGUAGCGAAAGCAUGGGUAGCGAAGAGGAUUAGAUA